AUCUCUUUUACUUUCAAGUCUGUCUAAUUUUUAUUUUGCUAAGUUUGAAAAACCGUUCUUCCUUUUAACUGAAAAAGACUGCUUCUUCUCAUCAGUCCAACCCUAGAAAAUAUCUCAACGCAUCCCUUCUCCAUUUUCACGCCUUCUCUUCUCCCUUGAAAAACUUCUCACCCUCUCUCUCUGUUUCUCUAGUUGCUACGGCCACCAACCGAAAAUCACAAUCGGCACUGCCUCCAUGCCGCCUCCACAGCAUAGAUCAGAUCCACGCCACUGCCUCAGCUACCGACAAACAUCUAUCUUAGCCUCUUCAUGUCGCUUAAACUCUCUCUCUGUUCAACGCCACCGUCGUUCACGACCUCCACCUAAACCUGAACCUCUAGAUUUAUAACUCUCUCCUCUCCUCCAAUGAUCAUCUUCUGUACUGGUAAACCCCACCACCAUCUCAUUGAUUUCAUUGGGUUUCCAUAGUUUAUCCUUUAUAAUUAUAUAAAUUUUUGUCUAAUUUUCUAUUUCGUAGCUGAGAGUUCGAAUGUGGCUUCUUCUUUACUCUUCCAAAAUUUCCUUUUAAUUCUUCCAAUUUUCUAUAUGAUUUUGGAAGUUUUUGAAAUUAAUGGAUGGAUUUGUUGUUUUAUGCAGAGAACAUGUUUGAACAAAUGCCUGACAAGAAGCCUUUACUAAAAUACCCCAUACAUAUUACAAAUGCCUUUGAACAAGCAGUCUCUC
rnacentral:lncRNA from 1 species